CCUACGGGAGGCAGCAGUCGAGAAUCAUUCACAAUGGGGGAAACCCUGAUGGUGCGACGCCGCGUGGGGGAAUGAAGGUCUUCGGAUUGUAAACCCCUGUCAUGUGGGAGCAAAUUAAAAAGAUAGUACCACAAGAGGAAGAGACGGCUAACUCUGUGCCAGCAGCCGCGGUAAUACAGAGGUCUUAAGCGUUGUUCGGAAUCACUGGGCGUAAGGCGUGCGUAGGCUGUUUCGUAAGUCGUGUGUGAAAGGCGCGGGCUCAACCCGCGGACGGCACAUGAUACUGCGAGACUAGAGUAAUGGAGGGGGAACCGGAAUUCUCGGUGUAGCAGUGAAAUGCGUAGAUAUCGAGAGGAACACUCGUGGCGAAGGCGGGUUCCUGGACAUUAACUGACGCUGAGGCACGAAGGCCAGGGGAGCGAAAGGGAUUAGAUACCCCGUAGUC
rnacentral:rRNA from 1 species